rnacentral:rRNA from 1 species
UACGUAGGGUGCGAGCGUUGUCCGGAAUUAUUGGGCGUAAAGAGCUCGUAGGCGGUCUGUCGCGUCGAUCGUGAAAACUUGGGGCUUAACCCUGAGCUUGCGGUCGAUACGGGCAUGACUGGAGUUCGGCAGGGGAGACUGGAAUUCCUGGUGUAGCGGUGAAAUGCGCAGAUAUCAGGAGGAACACCGGUGGCGAAGGCGGUCUCUGGGCAUUACCUGACGCUGAGGAGCGAAAGUGUGGGGAGCGAAACAG